rnacentral:lncRNA from 1 species
UCUAAUGAGCACAAUUAUUGGGGAGGCUGGCCCAAAAGAUUUCAUUCAGAUAUUCAAUUAAGAAAAAGAAAUAAAAAGGAAGAAUGGGAAAGAUGUAAGAUAGAGCAUAAGAGAGAAGAUAGAAGAGAAAAGAAAUCGAUGUUUUUUUAGAUUAAUUUCAAAAUAAUCAGAUCUAAGGUUGCACUUGUGCAUCGUCGGACAAUCUUAAAAGAUAAUCUAGAUUACUUAUAGGAUAGAUUGUCACUAUUAAAUUAUCAGUAAUAUUGAUUACUAUGUUUGAUACAUGC